AGUAAGGAAUAUUGGUCAAUGGGCGCAAGCCUGAACCAGCCAUGCCGCGUGCAGGAAGACGGCCCUAUGGGUUGUAAACUGCUUUUGUCAGGGAAUAAACCCCCGCUCGUGAGCGGGGCUGAAGGUACCUGAAGAAUAAGCAUCGGCUAACUCCGUGCCAGCAGCCGCGGUAAUACGGAGGAUGCAAGCGUUAUCCGGAUUCAUUGGGUUUAAAGGGUGCGCAGGCGGAUUGGUAAGUCAGGGGUGAAAUCCCACAGCUCAACUGUGGAACUGCCUUUGAUACUGUCAGUCUAGAGUAUAGUUGAAGUUGGCGGAAUGUGUCAUGUAGCGGUGAAAUGCUUAGAUAUGACACAGAACACCGAUCGCGAAGGCAGCUAGCUAAGCUAUAACUGACGCUCAUGCACGAAAGCGUGGGGAUCAAACAGGAUUAGAUACCCUGGUAGUCCACGCUGUAAACGAUGAUUACUCGAUGUUGGCGAUACACAGUCAGCGUCUGAGCGAAAGCAAUAAGUAAUCCACCUGGGGAGUACGAUCGCAAGAUUGAAACUCAAAGGAAUUGACGGGGGCCCGCACAAGCGGAGGAGCAUGUGGUUUAAUUCGAUGAUACGCGAGGAACCUUACCUGGGCUCGAACGUAAGAUGACUGUAGGUGAAAGCUUACAUCUCUUCGGAGCAUUUUACGAGGUGCUGCAUGGUUGUCGUCAGCUCGUGCCGUGAGGUGUCGGGUUAAGUCCCAUAACGAGCGCAACCCCUACCUUUAGUUGCCAUCAGGUCAUGCUGGGGACUCUAAAGGAACUGCCUACGCAAGUAGUGAGGAAGGCGGGGAUGACGUCAAAUCAGCACGGCCCUUACGUCCAGGGCUACACACGUGCUACAAUGGCCGAUACAGAGGGCAGCUACCUGGUGACAGGAUGCAAAUCUCCAAAGUCGGUCUCAGUUCGGAUCGGAGUCUGCAACCCGACUCCGUGAAGUUGGAUUCGCUAGUAAUCGCGCAUCAGCCAUGGCGCGGUGAAUACGUUCCCGGGCCUUGUACACACCGCCCGUCAAGCCAUGGAAGCUGGGGGGACCUAAAGUCGAUAACCGCAAGGAGUCGCCUAGGGUAAAACCAGUGACUGGGGCU
rnacentral:rRNA from 1 species